GCUACUAUGGCGAAAUAGGCAGCACGCUUCGGUCUUAAAAACCGAUGGGGCAACCCGUGCCAGUUCGAGUCUGGCUAGUAGCA
rfam:Ruminococcus callidus ATCC 27760 genomic scaffold Scaffold21, whole genome shotgun sequence.